AUUAAAGCUGCCCAUUCCCAUGCCCUGUCUGACGUUAACGCCUCCCUCGCAUGGUCCAAUGAAAUGCUUCAUAGAGAAGUAUCUGAUUGGACCAUUUACCAACUCAGAACAGGGAGAGGGAAGGGAGAUCAAGCAUCCCGUUGCAGGCAUGAUCUCUGCACUGCAACAGGAGAAGCUUAGAAGGUCUGUCACCAGUGCGCAGUGCACUGGAUACAGACAACCGACGUGAUUAGUGCAC